rnacentral:rRNA from 1 species
AGCGAACGCUGGCGGCAGGCCUAACACAUGCAAGUCGAACGAACCUUUCGGGGUUAGUGGCGGACGGGUGAGUAACACGUGGGAACGUGCCUUUAGGUUCGGAAUAACUCAGGGAAACUUGUGCUAAUACCGAAUGUGCCCUUCGGGGGAAAGAUUUAUCGCCUUUAGAGCGGCCCGCGUCGGAUUAGCUAGUUGGUUGAGGUAAUGGCUCACCAAGGCGACGAUCAGUAGCUGGUCUGAGAGGAUGAUCAGACACAUUGGGACUGAGACACGGCCCAAACUCCUACGGGAGGCAGCAGUGGGGAAUCUUGCGCAAUGGGCGAAAGCCUGACGCAGCCAUGCCGCGUGAAUGAUGAAGGUCUUAGGAUUGUAAAAUUCUUUCACCGGGGACGAUAAUGACGGUACCCGGAGAAGAAGCCCCGGCUAACUUCGUG